rfam:Triticum aestivum genome assembly, contig: Triticum_aestivum_CS42_TGACv1_scaffold_603802_7DL
UAAAUACUCCCUCUGUCCAAAAAACUUGACAUCAAAAUAGAUAAAAAGGCAUGUAUCUAGAACUAAUAUACAUCUAGAUACAUCCCCUUUUAUUCAUUUUGAUGACAAGUAUUUCCGGACGGAGGGAGUAACUU